UACAGAGGGUGCGAGCGUUAAUCGGAAUUACUGGGCGUAAAGCGUGCGUAGGCGGUCGGGUAAGUCGGGUGUGAAAGCCCCGGGCUCAACCUGGGCAUUGCAUUCGAGACUGCACGGCUGGAGUGCGGAAGAGGGAAGCGGAAUUUCCGGUGUAGCGGUGAAAUGCGCAGAUAUCGGAAGGAACAUCAGUGGCGAAAGCGGCUUCCUGGUCCAGCACUGACGCUCAGGCACUAAAGCGUGGGGAGCAAACAGG
rnacentral:rRNA from 1 species